rnacentral:rRNA from 1 species
UACGUAGGGGGCGAGCGUUGUCCGGAAUGACUGGGCGUAAAGGGCGCGUAGGCGGUUCGGUAAGUUAGGAGUGAAAGUCCAGCUUUUAAGGGUGGAACUGCUUUUAAUACUGUCGGGCUAGAGUGCAGAAGAGGUAAGCGGAAUUCCCAGUGUAGCGGUGAAAUGCGUAGAGAUUGGGAAGAACACCAGUGGCGAAGGCGGCUUACUGGGCUGUAACUGACGCUGAGGCGCGAAAGCGUGGGGAGCGAAC